GUUCCCUCAGCCUGGUUGGCAAUCAGGUUUUGAGUGUAAGUGCACAAGGGAGCUUGACUGUGAGACAGGCAUGUCGAGCAGGGACGAAAGUCGGGACUAGUGAUCCGGCGGUGGCUUGUGGAAGCGCCGUCGCUCAACGGAUAAAAGGUACCCCGGGGAUAACAGGCUGAUCUUGCCCAAGAGUCCAUAUCGACGGCAUGGUUUGGCACCUCGAUGUCGGCUCGUCGCAUCCUGGGGCUGGAGUAGGUCCCAAGGGUUGGGCUGUUCGCCCAUUAAAGCGGUACGCGAGCUGGGUUUAGAACGUCGUGAGACAGUUCGGUCCCUAUCCGCUGUGCGCGUAGGAAACUUGAGAAGAGCUGUCCCUAGUACGAGAGGACCGGGAUGGACGAACCUCUGGUGUGUCAGUUGUUCUGCCAAGAGCACGGCUGAUUAGCUACGU
rnacentral:rRNA from 1 species